rnacentral:tRNA from 1 species
ACCUGGCUGGCUCAGUUGGAAAAGUAUGUGACUCAUGAUCUCAGGGCUCAUGAGUUCAAGCCCCAUGCUGGGUG